GGCAAAAAAUGGGAAAGAAGAAAAAACUGAGAGGAAGAGCUCCAAAAUGGUUUAGAUGGGGUUUCUUUAUUGGAAAAUAAAGAAAUAAAUAAAUAAAAGGAGGAUGAAUUCGAUGCGAUGCUUGUCAAGUAAAGAGCCCUCUGCUGUAAAUCAUAACCUUUUGCUCUCGUUGUCUGUUCGACCUUGAACUUAUUUUCUCAAAAUAUAUAAUUUUAUUGUGAGUAUUUUUUUUUAUAAAUAAAAUAAUAAUAAUAAUAAUAAAAUAAAACCCUUAAUUUUUUUUAUGGAUUCAUUGGUAGGUAGCAGCAAAAGGUCUGCACUUUUUGGUAGGUAAGGGCAAAUGCCUUUGGCCCCCUCAAGAAAAGAAGGUGAAAAAUAUUUUUAUUUUUAUUUUUAUUUUUAUUUUUGAAAAAAAUAAAAACAAUAUUAUUUUAAAAACUUUUAUUUAACCAAAGGGAAAAAAAUGUCAGUUUUUAAUGACCUUUUGAUGCAUUCUAUGAUACAAAAGUUCCUAGUUUAGAUAGUCAAAGAAAUUUUGUGAUUUUCUAUGUCGGGUGUCCUCUAUUCUUAGCAAGGAUUUUGAUUGGCUUUUCUUUAUAGCUAACGAUUUUUCUUAAAAAAAAACAUAGAUCGACUGAAAAUAUACAAUAAAAAAGUCUCGUGGUGAUAAGUAUUCAAAUUAAAUAUUGUUUUUUCCUAAUAAAUUUGUAGGAUGGUUUUAUAUUAUUAGAAGGGAAUACAUCCAAUGAGAUUUGAAUCUAUAUAAUAUUAGGUUUCUUUUUUUAUCAUUUAAUUAUGAAUUAUAUUGUUUUUAUUUUUGUCUUUUUUUUUAAAAAAAAACUUUACAAGUUAAUUCUAUCGAUUUUUUUAUCUACGGAAGUGAACUAUAUUAAAAAGGAAAAUAUUUUUUUAUAACAACACUAUUGUUUAAUUUACUGAUGUGGAGACAAGGUUUCUAUUUCUUUAUUUAUUCAGGUUAUAAAUCUGGGGCAGAAAUAAGAAAUAAUGUUUGAAAAAUAUUAAAUUUUUUUUAUUAUAACUGGAAUCCGUUUGACAACUAUUUAAUCCCGUGUUUUAAGUUUUUGAAAAAUACUUAAAACUUACAAAUCAAUAUUUUCCACCUAACUUUCUUUAUCGUGUUAUUUAAAUCACUAAAAAUAUUUUCGAAACUUAAGUAAAAAAUUUGAAAAUUAAAUAAAAAAAUGUUUGAAAAAUAUUUUUUUAAAGUUGGGCUAACAAUGCAAAUGUUUAUUAAGAAAUUUGGAAAACCAUGGUAAGGAAUUGUGGAAAAUAAAAAAAUGAAAUUAUUAAAAAAAACAAACAAAAGAUGUGCUUUCCAAUAUUGAAUGAAAAAUUAAUAACGACUAUUGAGGUCAUUCUUUUUUAUUAUUAUUAUUUUAAAAUUCUUUUCAUGUAAUAUAUACCAGUGCUAAAAUAAAAACAUUUAAAAGUUUAUAGUGACAGUUGACGUAGUUGACGUAUACAGUUAAGUUGAGUUGAGGAAGUAUAUACUUAAAAAAAGUCGAAAAUCAAAGCAAAAAUUUUUAAAAUAUGUUUCUUUUUAUAUAUAUAUUUUUUUUUUUGAGAAAAAUCAUUUAAAUGUCGUUGAAAAUAUUUUCAAAUAUAACAAAAUAUUAUAGUUUAUCAGUGAUAGACACUGAUAGACAUCUAUCAGUAUCUAUUAAUAUCGAUCAAUGAUAGUAGUGUAUCAUUGUCUAUCAAUGAUAGACAGUGACAUUUUGCUAUAUUUAUAAAUAUUUUAAUUAUUUUUCUAUAUUUGAAAACAAUUCUAUUUUUAGCUGUUGUUUGGACAAAUUUAAAUAUGAGGUCGAAGAGACAACGAACACAAGGGUUUAGCAGAAGACUGUUUAUUUGACAAAGGAUUUGCAUGGAAUUCAAUGCCUCCCAUUUAGUUGAGGGAGAUUUUACAAGUUCGUCCAAAUCCAUGAGAAAUUAUUGAAGCAAGUCAUCAAAAAGGUGAACAGUAGUUUUACACUUUUUUCAGAUAUUUGAAAAAAAAGAAACUCUAAAAGUAUUUCAAAUUUUUUAGUGAUUAUUAUUUAUUAGAGGACAUGAAUUUUUUUUUAAGAAAGAUAUUGUAAAGUGUGGAGUGAGAGAAUCGAACCUCAAACUACGAGGUUGAUAAUAUAAACACUAUGUCAGUUGAGCUACGCUUUUGUUGGCUAGAGAACAUGAAUUUUCUUAAAGAUA